CAGCAGCCGCGGUAAUACGAAGGGGGCUAGCGUUGUUCGGAAUUACUGGGCGUAAAGCGCACGUAGGCGGAUAUUUAAGUCAGGGGUGAAAUCCCGCAGCUCAACUGCGGAACUGCCUUUGAUACUGGGUAUCUUGAGUAUGGAAGAGGUUAGUGGAAUUGCGAGUGUAGAGGUGAAAUUCGUAGAUAUUCGCAGGAACACCAGUGGCGAAGGCGGCUAACUGGUCCAUAACUGACGCUGAGGUGCGAAAGCGUGGGGAGCAAACAGGAUUAGAUACCCGGGUAGUCCCUGUCUCUUAUAA
rnacentral:rRNA from 1 species